AUCACACUUGUUUGGUACUGAGCCACAUGAUAUGUCGCAACUCCCCCUGUGAGCAGGGACCAGGCAGGAGAAGAAAGUCACAUCAUGUGGGUGAGCAUUCCCAAAGCAAAGCCUGGGGUUCUAUUUAAAAUCAUGCAACCAGGAAAAGCAGACAUGAGAAACUUACUACACUCACUCUGGAGAAGAUAAAGUAUUUUCCUACACUCCUUCCUGCAUGCCGAGGUUGACGUUUUGUUGUGUGACUACCUGGAUAAGACUGGAAAGAUCAAGGCUGCAGUGAAUCAGGAUUGCAUCCCUCUGCUGGAGCUGAAUGGGACUGCUGCUGACAAGAGCCAUAUGGUUAACCUUAGACAGCAAAACGUGAGCCAUCUGGAGGACCUUAGACAUGGCAAGGCAAGAGCCAUCUGGUCGACCAUAGACAUAGCAAUCUGGUGGCUAAGUCCAAUGCUUACAGCCAACAGCUG
rnacentral:lncRNA from 1 species